rnacentral:rRNA from 1 species
UACGUAGGGUGCAAGCGUUAAUCGGAAUUACUGGGCGUAAAGCGUGCGUAGGCGGCUAUGUAAGACAGAUGUGAAAUCCCUGGGCUUAACCUAGGAACUGCAUUUGUGACUGCAUUGCUAGAGUGUGGUAGAGGGAGAUGGAAUUCCGCAUGUAGCAGUGAAAUGCGCAGAUAUCGGGAAGAACACCUAUGGCGAAGGCAGCUCUCUGGGACGGUACUGACGCUGAGACGCGAAAGCGUGGGGAGCAAACAGG